rnacentral:rRNA from 1 species
GGAUAACAUACCGAAAGGUAUGCUAAUACGGGAUAAUAUAUUUGAGAGGCAUCUCUUAAAUAUCAAAGGUGAGCCAGUACAGGAUGGACCCGCGUCUGAUUAGCUAGUUGGUAAGGUAACGGCUUACCAAGGCGACGAUCAGUAGCCGACCUGAGAGGGUGAUCGGCCACAUUGGAACUGAGACACGGUCCAAACUCCUACGGGAGGCAGCAGUGGGGAAUAUUGCACAAUGGGCGAAAGCCUGAUGCAGCAACGCCGCGUGAGUGAUGAAGGCCUUCGGGUCGUAAAACUCUGUCCUCAAGGAAGAUAAUGACGGUACUUGAGGAGGAAGCCCCGGCUAACUACGUGCCAGCAGCCGCGGUAAUACGUAGGGGGCUAGCGUUAUCCGGAUUUACUGGGCGUAAAGGGUGCGUAGGCGGUCUUUCAAGUCAGGAGUGAAAGGCUACGGCUCAACCGUAGUAAGCUCUUGAAACUGGGAGACUUGAGUGCAGGAGAGGAGAGUGGAAUUCCUAGUGUAGCGGUGAAAUGCGUAGAUAUUAGGAGGAACACCAGUUGCGAAGGCGGCUCUCUGGACUGUAACUGACGCUGAGGCACGAAAGCGUGGGGAGCAAACAGGAUUAGAUACCCUGGUAGUCCACGCUGUAAACGAUGAGUACUAGGUGUCGGGGGUUACCCCCUUCGGUGCCGCAG